rnacentral:rRNA from 1 species
UACGGAGGAUCCGAGCGUUAUCCGGAUUUAUUGGGUUUAAAGGGUGCGUAGGUGGAUUGGUAAGUCAGUGGUGAAAGUUUGCAGCUUAACUGUAAAAUUGCCGUUGAAACUGCCGGUCUUGAGUGCAAAUGAGGUAGGCGGAAUGCGUCAUGUAGCGGUGAAAUGCUUAGAUAUGACGCAGAACUCCGAUUGCGAAGGCAGCUUACUGGGAUGCAACUGACGCUGAGGCACGAAAGCGUGGGUAUCAAACAGGAUUAGAUA